AACGUAGGAGCCAAGCGUUAUCCGAAUUCACUGGGCGUAAAGCGCGUGCAGGCGGCCUGGUAAGUUGGAUGUGAAAGCUCCUGGCUCAACUGGGAGAGGACGUUCAAUACUGUCAGGCUCGAGGGCAGCAGAGGGAGGUGGAAUUCCCGGUGUAGUGGUGAAAUGCGUAGAUAUCGGGAGGAACACCAGUGGCGAAGGCGGCCUCCUGGGCUGUACCUGACGCUCAGAUGCGAAAGCUAGGGGAGCGAACGGG
rnacentral:rRNA from 1 species